rnacentral:rRNA from 1 species
UACGAAGGGGGCUAGCGUUGCUCGGAAUGACUGGGCGUAAAGGGCGCGUAGGCGGCUCAUACAGUCAGGCGUGAAAUUCCUGGGCUCAACCUGGGGACUGCGCUUGAGACGUGUGGGCUUGAGUGGGGAAGAGGGUCGUGGAAUUCCCAGUGUAGAGGUGAAAUUCGUAGAUAUUGGGAAGAACACCGGUGGCGAAGGCGGCGACCUGGUCCGAUACUGACGCUGAGGCGCGAAAGCGUGGGGAGCAAACAGG